AGGCAGAUGUGCCCCAGAAGUCUGGCAGUGGUGGGGAGAGUUGAGUUCCCUCGCGUUUUAGUUCACAACGGGAAAGAAGGCAAGGGUGGCUUGCUGACUUAAAAUUGCUUAAGAGCAUGUCUUCCCUGACCCUCAAGUAUUAGUGAGACAGUUCCUAAUAUCCGUGGUGUAAGAUGAGGAAAAGAAGCAUGAAAUAACCGGAGUAGCAGGAGCCGGGGAACAUAGUGUACAAAGGAAAGAUAAGGAAGAGCCACAGGAGAAACGGCAACCGUACCUGUAAAGCUGACUAACAACGGAAUUAAAAUAAUUGUAAAUGCCAGGCGUGCCUUCCGAGGAUCGAUGCCCUCCUCUGCUGUCACCGCUGGUGCUGCCGGUCACACAUGCAGCAACUCUGCAGUGGAGGUGUUUUUUCUUCAGGUAGAGGCAGUUUUUCUUUACAAAGAGGACAUAUUGUAAGGAAUUCAAUCUCUGCGUGCAUGGACCGUUUCAUAUUUUUUAAAAACUGACUCAUUUCAGAGUUAGACUAGACUUCAAUGGUGAACGAAAUCCUGCAGAAAGUUCAAAAAAAAAAAAAAAUUAGCAGGAUGAGCGACCACGCCACACGUUAGAAAGUCCAGAGACAGCAACACGUCCACGUUCGAGUGAGCUGACUUCCAGCGGCGACCGACCGCAGUGCGUCCCCGGGUCCGUGUCCGGGGCCAGCGUGAAGCCCUCCACAGCAGGAGCCAAGUACCUGUGGGGUCACGGUGAGGAGUCUGUCGUCGCUCACAUCUGCCGCUCAGCCCGGAGCUGAACUUCAUCUUGCCAGAGGCACUCUGCAGCGGGACAGGGAAUAUGAGAAAUGCACCGAGGACUGACUGAGCAUGCAGGUUAAAAAAAAAAGAAAUUCUGUAGAGUUAUUUUUCUUCUGCAGCACCUGAUUAGGGGAGGGGAGAAAAGAAAAGUUUAAAAUCUG